rfam:Larimichthys crocea isolate SSNF unplaced genomic scaffold scaffold60, whole genome shotgun sequence.
UGUCUCCUUCUCUGUAAGUCACUUUGGAUAAAAGCAUCUGCUAAAUGACUAAAU